ACCAUUGGUCCAUCUAGCUCAGUAUUGUCUACACGGACUGGCAGCGGCUUCUCCAAGGUUGCAGGCAGGAGUCUCUCUCAGCCCUAUCUUGGAGAUGCCAGGGAGGGAACUUGGGACAUGCUCUUCCCAGAGUGGCUCCAUCUCCUAAGGGGAAUAUCUUACAGUGCUCACAUGUAGUCUCCCAUUCAAAUGCAACCAGGUGGACCCUGCUUAGCAAAGAGGACAAUUCAUACUUGCUACCACAAGACGAGCUCUCUAGCUAAACCAUUGCCAGCUGCUCUUCAUUCUAUAUAGGUAGACCUCACUAUACACGUACCGCUAUUUGCAGUUUCGCGUAUCCACGUCCUAAAAUAGGCACCCAAUCUCAGCAAGGGUUAAUACCCAUGUAUCCACUGCUCCUUGGUGGCCAGAAGUUAUCUCUAAGGUCAUUUUCAGCCACCAUUUUGUUUAAAGGAGCCAUUUUGUGGCUCUUCUGUUGGGGGAAGAAAAAGGAUUUCCCCACACAAUUUUUCAUGGAAAAUUGGCCAGACUGAUGGUUUUGGGGGGCAUUGCUGGACAGAUGAAGACCUGCGGAGCAUGGUAGGGAACAGCAAGUUGCUUACCUGUAACACAAGGGUUCUUCUAGUGGUCAUCUGUGCUCUUACAUGAUUGGGCUUUGCUUGUGCACAGAUAUCUCGUUGGAAUUGUCCAAGCUAGUUUCUCUCUCCGAUAGACGGCAGCUCCUACCCUUCCUGUAGUCACAUGUCCUCCCUCCUUCAGUCUCUGAGUCUGUUGACCUAGAGAACUAGAGAAGGGAGUUUGGGUGACCACUAGAAGAACCCAAGAUACAGGUACGCAACCUGCUGUUCUUCGAUGUGGUCUCUGUGCUUUACGUGAUUGGACGCAUAGCAAGCUGCACCCAGUGAUCAUCUUACCUGGAGGUGGGAGUCAGGCGAAGAGCGACUGUAGGACAGACAUUCCAAAGGCUGCAUCUCUUUUAGAGUGGAGAUCAAGGGCAUAAUGUUGAAUAAAGGAGUGUGAGGAUACCCAAGCAGCAGCUUGGCAUAUGAUAUCCAAUGGGAUAGCUCUGUCAAAGGUUACCGAGGCUGCCACCGCUCUGGUAGAAUGAGAGGUGCACCCAGGUAAUUUUGGAGCCUGUACCUAAAGGCCUUUGGAGUCCCCCCACCUCUGAAAAUUAAGCAUCAUCAUGCUUGGCUGGGCAACCACACCACCCGGGACAGACUAAAGAGGAUUUGGAGGGUGGGGCAGGGGCUGUGGAGGCCCUGGACUUCGGCCUGGAAGUCCAGGGGUAAAAGGGCCUCAUUGAAUGUGCUCUGAUAGAGGAAGGUAUCUCUUUCUUAGCUAGUUGGCAAGAUAACAUUAUAGUCUUGACUAUUCAUCUGGAAAUGGUCUGGGAUGAUGCCACUUUGCCCUUGUUUGGUCCAGUAUGUGCAACAAAGAGUGACAGAGAGGAGCACUCCAUGGAGGUCCUAUGCACAUAGAAGGCAAGCGCUCUACAGACAUCUAGGAUAUGUAGGCAGCACUGUGCCUCAUCUGUAGGGUUAGGAAGGAACACCAGUAAGGUAAGUGGUUGGGACCAGUGAAAGGAGGAGACAACUUUGAGAAGGAAGGUGAUGUCAGGGUGAAGCACCACCUUGUUCUUGUGGAAGACCAGUAAGAUGCAUCCACUCUCAGGACCCUCAACUCGCUCACUCUUCUGACAGAUGUGGUAGUGGCUACAAGGAAUGCCACCUUGCAAGAGAGGAGAUCCAGAGAGGUGGUUUGGGUACAGGUGGGCCAGACCUUUUAGAAAAUUCUUGAUGAUAGAGUCCUUGAAGAAGGACAUAGGUCGAGUCAGCGAAUGUGCCACAAUGGCCGCUAGAUGAACUCUUAGGGAAGAAAGCUUGAGACCGGAUUCCUUCAAUGAAAGGAGGUAAGUGCAAACAUGCCCCAUGGAGAACUGUUCAGGAGCACUGUUGUGAGAGUGAUGGAAGGCCAGGAAAUGUGUCCACUUAUGAUGAUAAGACUUUAUUGUUGCAGGUUUCUUGGAUGUGGACAAGACUCGCUGUAAAGGCUGCGGGAAGAGGGCUGUAUCCACCACACAGUGAAAUGCAAUCUGUGGGGGUCCGGGUGCAAGAGCUGUCUGGAGUGUUGGGAGAGAAGGCCCUGAAUGGACAGAUCUUGGACACGGGCCCCUCAUCCUGUGUUGGAUGCAUCCAUGUAUCAAGGCCAAAGCACUGGUGCUCAAGGACAUGGAGGCCGUAGACUGUGUUGCGGCACUAGACAAGGGUGCCAGGUCAGACAGUAAGAGAGCUGCAAGCUCUGUAGGCCAGGUGGAAGGCCCUGAGCUCGGAGCAACUCACAAACGCUGUCAUUCUGUUGACGGAUGAAGAAAGAUUGAAGGAGGAAGGACAUGUGACCACAGGAAAGGGAGGCGCUAACACCUAUCUGAGAGAGAAACUAGCUUGGACAAUUCUAACAAAGUCUCUUGGCGCAAAGCCCAAUUGUGUAAAGCACAGAGAACAUGUCAAAGAACUUUCUUUUCAUUAUUUUUGCUGGGGGGUUCCCCCCCAGUUUUUGGACUUUUUAUUCCAAUGCAGGAACCUAACCCCACCCCCCUUCCCUUGUCAUCUGCAGAAAUCUGCGGGAAUGGAACCCCCAUGGAUAAUGGGGUACACCUGUAUCUUCAUCAUUUUAUAAGGUAACCAUGGCUUUUACUUUUCAGAACAAAAUGCAGGUUUGGGGACAAUAUAAAGUACAUAAUACACACACACACACACAACCUAUUCAGACAAUGAGGCUGUUCACACAACCAAAAAAUGGGUAGAACAAGUGUCCUACCCAAGUUUGGGCAGUGUGCACACUCCCAAUUUUUGGUUGUAUAGGAACAAAAAAUUAUGUAGGAGGAGGGGGAAGUGACUGUGUGGGAGAUCGGAUCUGAGUAGGACAGCAGCGUCCUACUCAGCUUUCAUACCCAGCAUUUGAUUGAGGUAGGAGGAACCAGCUCCUGUCUCCCACACAGUCACUUCUCCCACCUCCUACCUAGUUGUUGCUAGAGUGUGCACAGCUCCCAAACCUGGGUAUGACACUUGCCCUACCCACUUUUCAGUUGUGUGAACAGCCUCAUUACAUUCUGCGCGUACCAGUUUUCUGUUCAUGUGUAGAUGUCUUUAUGUCAAUGACUGUACCUGUGUCAUUUUAGAAAUGAACCUAGGUAUAGGCCCCCUCAAACACAGGGUACAAAUAAGAAGCAUAUGGAUGUUGAACUGAGGGCCAGUUUGGAUGACCAGCCCAACCACACAUGAUAAGCAAUGGUGAAACAAGCUCUGAAGGGGCCUGUGUGCAAGAAUUGAACAUGGGCCCCAUCAGAUAGUUUCUUCAUGGGGAUCAAUAGGAAACAAAAAGGUUAAUAACUCCUGGAUGGCUGAGCAGAAAGCCAGAACAUCCAGUAUAGGACUGGUAUAAAACAUGUAUCUGUUAGUGUAGACAGGUGCCCACCAGCUACCUCUCCCACCAGUGGCAAUUAUGACAUCACCAUUGGUUUCUCUGUUAUGAUGCUCUCACUGUCUCCUUGGUGAUGGCUGAAACUCAAAGGUGAGGCUCAGUGGUGUGGAAGAUGCAGGAGGAAAAGCAGCAUCUUCUGGGGCAGCUUGCUUCUCCUCCUCCUAUCCCAAGAGUAGAUGGAAUAAUUGUGGCAAAGCAGUUGCGAUCUUUUUAAAUAUAGAAACGAAUGGUAAGGCCAUCAGAUAAGAAGUAUCUUUCUGUUCUAGAGCAGGAAUUUGUAAUGGAUGGGGGCAGUUUGAAACCAAGCAAUCUAGCAGAUGAGGCAAGUAUUUCAGCAUCUCUAAAUGCCAAAAUCUCUUGCUUCCCUUUUUUGUUCGGCUCGGUAAAUAACCUUUGCUAUGGCUUAAUUCUAGAGACAGUAGUGGGGGAAUACUACAUUGCCUGGGAAAGUAUCUUCAUCCUGGGAAUAAACUAAUUUGAAUAGGACACUACAGACAAAUUGACAUCAAUAAGACAACUUUCAUUUUGGGAAUCAUCUGGAAAAGCUAAAAAAAAAAAAAAGAUUCCAAGUUUAAGAAAAUAAACAUAGAAAAAAUACAAGGAAAGGAGUGAGACAAGGUAAAGAUUGUUGCACUGUUUCAGGGAAAGAGAAACAAAAAACUUCAAAUAUUAACAUCACCAACACAGAGGCAAGUGCUUUAUUGUUAAAGAAAGCAGCUAUUUGGUUUCUUUCCUACAUAAUAAGAGGUAACACCAUCUCAACAUGAUUUGUUAGCAGAAAAUGGCUUGGCUUGAAAUGUAUGGUUUUCAAUCCGUUUAAGAAAACAACAACCUCAUAACAGAAAGUCUGAUGAUACACUUUUUUAAAAAGUUUCUAAAACUGUUGAAAAGUGCCAUAACUGCUUUGUUUCAUAACAAGAAGUUACAAAAGUGUUGGAGUUUAAUCCCCCACUCUAUCUUUAUCUUUGCCUUGAUUAUAAAAGCAGUAGUACCCCAGUUUUAUGCACCCCAUGUUAUAACUCCAGAAUGGCUGGGCAUAAAGUUCUCAAAAUUUGCAUGGGAGUAGUACAUGAUGGUAGCACUAAAUGUGUAGAAGUUCAAGGACAUCAGUCCACCUGUUGAUUUUUAAUGAAUGUUUUAAUAAGAUUUUUUAAAAAAUCAAUAAAUAUCAACAGGUUGACUGAUCUCCUUGAAUGUCCACAUACUUAAUGCUAUAAUCAUGUAGGAACAUCAUGUGAAAUUUCAGAGCUUUUUGCCCAAAUAUUCAGGAGUUAAUGAGGCUUUUCUCGCGAUCGGUGAGAAGAGCCUGGGGAGGGUUAGUGGGGAGAGCAGGCUUAGCCCGCUUUCCCUGCACACAAGCACACAGUCUGCUCCGGGCAGCCGAAGCAGCCGCCCACACAACUGCAGGCUCCAUUACGGAGCCAUCAAGGGCUGGGAGGAUCGGGAGCCGUGCGGCCCCCGGAAGCUCCAGCAUGCCCUGCACAAGCGCACAGGGCAUGCUGGAGAGACCCCCAAGCCGGGAGGCUGCUUUUUAGCCUCCCGGUCGGGGGUCUACUGGUGAGUUGCCAUGGCGCAGAGCCACGCCAUGGCAACACACAAGCACAAAGAUGGGGUUAACGGAGUGCUCUCUCCACUAACCUCAGCUAAGGGCAGGGGCAAUUAAGUGGGUUACCCGCUUGUAAACCACCGGGCUCGCCUGCGAGCCCGGUAGUUAACACAUCCAGCAAAAAGUGACAAGUGAACCAACCAAAAGGGAUCUUCUCAUAGACCUGAGAUUCAGGUUUGUGGAAACAUUUAUUUUAUCUGAAGAUGUAAACAUUCAGCACAGAAAUACCAUGCAAUAUAGAAGCAUUCAGAUAAGAUAAGAUAUAUACAAUUACAAUUUUAAAUUUUAUAUCUGUAACAGUAAAAACUAAUGUAAAACCCAUUUUAUCAAAUGCUCAUAGGUGCACUUAGUCAUGGAGAAACAACUAUAUUUACUGAUGUCUAAGUGGUAUCUCUAAUUCAAUAAAUGGGAGGCAGUCUCUCAAGAAACCAUUUGCUAUUUGCCUACAAUCUCUCAAACAUAUAUAUUCCAUUAAUUUUGACAUUUCUGCCCUCUCCAUAACACACUAUCCUAAUGUAUUUUAUUUUAUUUAGUUAAAAACAUGUUUAUCCUAUUUUAAUACAUUACCAUCCAAAAUGGCUCAGUCUUAACAAAAAGUACAAUAUAUAUAAUAAGGUCCUCUACAUCUCUUGUUGCUUUUAAGAAACUGCUGAAGAUGUACCUGCUUAAUCAGGUCUUUAGUUAAAAAGCUUUAAAUUGGCAGUUAAUCUUUUAAACUGUUUCAAAUUAUUUAAUACUUUAAUUACUGUUUCAUUGUGUUUUUAAGUUUUAUAUAUUAUGCAAACUGCCCAGAAAUAUUUAUGUUGGGAGGUAUAGAAAUAUGCAAAAUAAAUAACAAAUCACUGCAAAAUAACAAAAUAGCAUCACAGCCAAAUAAAGCCACUAUAUGCAGAUAAAAACAAAAAGUACAUCGCAGCCUCCUAUCUGAAGAAUGCCUUAUUUAUUAUUAUUGUUGUUGUUUACACAGUCAGACAGGUGUUAUUGACUGGUUUGUUUUAUCCAGACAUCAAUCCUUCCCAAGGACCUGGGAUGGCUGAAUUAUAUUAUCAAUGUUGUUGCUGUUAUUAUAGAUAUUGUCGCAGAAUAUAGGCUGUUCACAGUAAAGUUGCUUUUUGUAAUUGG